rnacentral:rRNA from 1 species
AGUGAACGCUGGCGGUAGGCCUAACACAUGCAAGUCGAACGGCAGCACAGUAAGAGCUUGCUCUUACGGGUGGCGAGUGGCGGACGGGUGAGGAAUACAUCGGAAUCUACUUUUUCGUGGGGGAUAACGUAGGGAAACUUACGCUAAUACCGCAUACGACCUACGGGUGAAAGCAGGGGAUCUUCGGACCUUGCGCGAAUGAAUGAGCCGAUGUCGGAUUAGCUAGUUGGCGGGGUAAAGGCCCACCAAGGCGACGAUCCGUAGCUGGUCUGAGAGGAUGAUCAGCCACACUGGAACUGAGACACGGUCCAGACUCCUACGGGAGGCAGCAGUGGGGAAUAUUGGACAAUGAGCGCAAGCCUGAUCCAGCCAUACCGCGUGGGUGAAGAAGGCCUUCGGGUUGUAAAGCCCUUUUGUUGGGAAAGAAAAGCAGCAGGUUAAUACCCCGCUGUUCUGACGGUACCCAAAGAAUAAGCACCGGCUAACUUCGUG